rnacentral:rRNA from 1 species
UAUGGCGACCGGCGCACGGGUGAGUAACACGUAUCCAACCUGCCGAUGACUCGGGGAUAGCCUUUCGAAAGAAAGAUUAAUACCCGAUGGCAUAGUUCUUCCGCAUGGUAGAACUAUUAAAGAAUUUCGGUCAUCGAUGGGGAUGCGUUCCAUUAGGUUGUUGGCGGGGUAACGGCCCACCUAGUCUUCGAUGGAUAGGGGUUCUGAGAGGAAGGUCCCCCACAUUGGAACUGAGACACGGUCCAA